CGGGAUGCGCGCAGCAGGCCCGCUGCCUGGGGGGCAGAGGGUCGUCGGUUCAAAUCCGGCCGUCCCGACCA
rnacentral:tRNA from 1 species